rnacentral:rRNA from 1 species
GAGUUUGAUCCUGGCUCAGGACGAACGCUGGCGGCGUGCUUAACACAUGCAAGUCGGACGGUGAAGCCCAGCUUGCUGGGUGGAUCAGUGGCGAACGGGUGAGUAACACGUGAGCAACCUGCCCUCCACUUCGGGAUAAGCCUUGGAAACGGGGUCUAAUACCGGAUAUGAGCUCGCAUCGCAUGGUGUGGGUUGGAAAGUUUUUCGGUGGGGGAUGGGCUCGCGGCCUAUCAGCUUGUUGGUGGGGUGAUGGCCUACCAAGGCGUCGACGGGUAGCCGGCCUGAGAGGGCGACCGGCCACACUGGGACUGAGACACGGCCCAGACUCCUACGGGAGGCAGCAGUGGGGAAUAUUGCACAAUGGGCGCUAGCCUGAUGCAGCGACGCCGCGUGAGGGAUGACGGCCUUCGGGUUGUAAACCUCUUUCAGCAGGGAAGAAGGCUUCGGUUGACGGUACCUGCAGAAGAAGCGCCGGCUAACUACGUGCCAGCAGCCGCGGUAAUACGUAGGGCGCAAGCGUUGUCCGGAAUUAUUGGGCGUAAAGAGCUCGUAGGCGGUCUGUCGCGUCUGGUGUGAAAUCCCGAGGCUCAACCUCGGGCUUGCAUCGGGUACGGGCAGACUAGAGUGCGGCAGGGGAGACUGGAAUUCCUGGUGUAGCGGUGGAAUGCGCAGAUAUCAGGAGGAACACCGAUGGCGAAGGCAGGUCUCUGGGCCGCAACUGACGCUGAGGAGCGAAAGCAUGGGGAGCGAAC